CCUACGGGAGGCUGCAGUGGGGAAUAUUGGACAAUGGGCGAAAGCCUGAUCCAGCAAUGCCGCGUGUGUGAAGAAGGCCUUCGGGUUGUAAAGCACUUUCAGUGGGGAAGAAAGCCUUGGGGCUAAUACCCUCGAGGAAGGACAUCACCCACAGAAGAAGCACCGGCUAACUCCGUGCCAGCAGCCGCGGUAAUACGGAGGGUGCGAGCGUUAAUCGGAAUUACUGGGCGUAAAGCGCGCGUAGGCGGUCUGAUAAGCCGGUUGUGAAAGCCCCGGGCUCAACCUGGGAACGGCAUCCGGAACUGUCAGGCUAGAGUGCAGGAGAGGAAGGUAGAAUUCCCGGUGUAGCGGUGAAAUGCGUAGAGAUCGGGAGGAAUACCAGUGGCGAAGGCGGCCUUCUGGACUGACACUGACGCUGAGGUGCGAAAGCGUGGGUAGCAAACAGGAUUAGAUACCCCAGUAGUC
rnacentral:rRNA from 1 species